rnacentral:tRNA from 1 species
GGAGAGGUGUCCGAGCGGUUUAAGGAGCACGCUUGGAAAGCGUGUGUAGCCACAAGUUACCCAGGGUUCAAAUCCCUGCCUCUCCGCCA